rnacentral:rRNA from 1 species
CCUANGGGGGGCUGCAGUGAGGAAUAUUGCACAAUGGGCGAAAGCCUGAUGCAGCGACGCCGCGUGGAGGAUGAAGGUCUUCGGAUCGUAAACUCCUGUCGAAUGGGACGAAUGGCUCGGCCGUGAAUAACGGUCGGGAAUGACGGUACCGUGAGAGGAAGCCCCGGCUAACUCCGUGCCAGCAGCCGCGGUAAUACGGGGGGGGCAAGCGUUGUUCGGAAUUACUGGGCGUAAAGGGCUCGUAGGUGGCCACCUAAGUCUGACGUGAAAUCCCUCGGCUCAACCGGGGAACUGCGUCGGAUACUGGGUGGCUUGAAGUCGGGAGAGGGACGUGGAAUUCCAGGUGUAGCGGUGAAAUGCGUAGAUAUCUGGAGGAACACCGGUGGCGAAGGCGGCGUCCUGGACCGAUAUUGACACUGAGGAGCGAAAGCCAGGGGAGCAAACGGGAUUAGAUACCCCANUANUC